rnacentral:rRNA from 1 species
UCCAGACUCCUACGGGAGGCAGCAGUGAGGAAUAUUGGUCAAUGGGCGCGAGCCUGAACCAGCCAAGUCGCGUGAGGGAGGACGGCCCUACGGGUUGUAAACCUCUUUUGCCGGGGAGCAACGGGCGCCACGUGUGGCGUCACUGAGAGUACCCGGAGAAAAAGCAUCGGCUAACUCCGUGCCAGCAGCCGCGGUAAUACGGAGGAUGCGAGCGUUAUCCGGAUUUAUUGGGUUUAAAGGGUGCGUAGGCGGAAUGCCAAGUCAGCGGUAAAAUCGGGGGGCUCAACCUCGCUCCGCCGUUGAAACUGGCGUUCUUGAGUGGGCGAGAAGUAUGCGGAAUGCGUGGUGUAGCGGUGAAAUGCAUAGAUAUCACGCAGAACUCCGAUUGCGAAGGCAGCAUACCGGCGCCCAACUGACGCUGAAGCACGAAAGCGUGGGUAUCGAACAGGAUUAGAUACCCUGGUA